CCAUAUCUUGUAUGAUCACCAUAGUUAAGCAACAAUGAGCCUGGUCAGUACUUAGAUGGGUGAACACUUGGGAAUACCAAGUGCUGUAAG